rnacentral:rRNA from 1 species
GACGAACGCUGGCGGCGUGCUUAAUACAUGCAAGUCGAACGGAAAGGCCCUGCUUUUGUGGGGUGCUCGAGUGGCGAACGGGUGAGUAACACGUGAGUAACCUGCCCUUUACUUUGGGAUAACUUUAGGAAACUGGGGCUAAUACCGGAUAGGAGCUCCUGUUGCAUGGUGGGGGUUGGAAAGUUUCGGCGGCUGGGGUUGGACUCGCGGCUUAUUAGCUUGUUGGUGGGGUUGUGGCUUACCAAGGCUUUGACGGGUAGCCGGCCUGAGAGGGUGACCGGCCACAUUGGGACUGAGAUACGGCCCAGACUCCUACGGGGGGCAGCAGUGGGAAAUAUUGCACGAUGGGCGGAAGCCUGAUGCAGCAACGCCGCGUGCGGGAUGACGGCCGUCGGGUUGUAAACCGCUUUCGCCUGUGACGAAGCGUGAGUGACGGUAAUGGGUAAAGAAGCACCGGCUAACUACGUG